rnacentral:rRNA from 1 species
UCGAGUAUUAAUUAGAUCACUGGCAUGGUUAGUUGUGUCAUAUAAUCCUGCAGGUAAGGGAAAAUAAUGAUAUUACCUUACUAUUAGUGUCGUCCAAAUGCUCGUGCCAGAAGACUCGGUAAAGCGAGAGACGCAAACGUUAGUCGUCUUGAUCAGGCGUAAAGGGUUUGUAGGCAGCUUUAAGUAUUCAAUUUAAUGUUUACUAUUAUAAUAUUUACAAGUUAUAAUAUUUAUUAGAGGAUCAAUUAAAGCUAGAAUCUAGAAGAGGUGAAUACAAUGCUUGAGCUUAGGAGUACUAACCGCAAACAUCAAGUAGAGUGCUAAGGGCGAAGGCAGUUUUCCAAUAAAGAUUGACGCUGAGAAACGAAGGUGAGGAUAGAAAAAAGGAUUAGAUACCCUUGUAUCCCUCACUGUCAACGAUGAAUGGUAGUUACUAGGGAGAAAUGACCUAGAGGCGAUGUUAACACGUAAACCAUUCCGCCUUGUGAGUACAACUGCAAAGUUGAAAACAAAAAAAUUAGUCGGUUUCGGAGCAAACGAAGUGAAGCAUGUUAUUUAAUUCAAUAAAUCCGCCAAG